AUGGAGCGGUCUUUUCAGUUGAAUCCGCAUGCCACUCCUUUCGUGCCUACCUCCAAGUCUCCGUUUGCGGAAAGCUUGAAAGGAAAGAAGGACCCUGAGAAGCAAGUAGAUGAGACUGAAAAUAAUGAGACUGCUGACAAGUCUGCUGGGUAUCUACUCCCAGAGUCCCUUUCUUUUGAUGACUAUGCUGAAAGCCUAGGAAAGAUCAACAUCUCUACUGAGUCAUCAUCAAAAGGAGAAGCUGCUGAAGCAAGUCACGCGGGUAAUCAUCUCGCCGUGGUGGAAUCUCUCUCGCUGAUGUUCCCAGAUGUGUCUGCUGACUUCAUUCUUGAAGCACUGAAGGCCAAUGAAUUUGACGCGGUACUCACCAUUGAUAUGCUUUCCGAUCUGUGCGAAGCUGAUGAUAACGGUCACUCCGCCGAAGUAUCAGAAAAGCCGGAGCACCAUGGCCCUUCGUCCACAUAG
rnacentral:rRNA from 1 species